AGCGAACGCUGGCGGCAGGCUUAACACAUGCAAGUCGAACGGGCGUAGCAAUACGUCAGUGGCAGACGGGUGAGUAACGCGUGGGAACAUACCUCUUGGUUCGGAACAACACAGGGAAACUUGUGCUAAUACCGGAUAAGCCCUUACGGGGAAAGAUUUAUUGCCGAAGGAAUAGCCCGCGUCCGAUUAGCUAGUUGGUGUGGUAAUGGCGCACCAAGGCGACGAUCGGUAGCUGGCUGAGAGGAUGAUCAGCCACAUUGGGACUGAGACACGGCCCAAACUCCUACGGGAGGCAGCAGUGGGGAAUAUUGGACAAUGGGCGCAAGCCUGAUCCAGCCAUGCCGCGUGAGUGAUGACGGCCUUAGGGUUGUAAAGCUCUUUCAUCAGGGACGAUAAUGACGGUACCUGAAGAAGAAGCCCCGGCUAACUUCGU
rnacentral:rRNA from 1 species